CCUACGGGCGGCAGCAGUGGGGAAUAUUGGACAAUGGGCGAAAGCCUGAUCCAGCCAUGCCGCGUGUGUGAAGAAGGCCUUCGGGUUGUAAAGCACUUUCAGUGGGGAAGAAAGCCUUGGGGCUAAUACCCUCGAGGAAGGACAUCACCCACAGAAGAAGCCCCGGCUAACUCCGUGCCAGCAGCCGCGGUAAUACGGAGGGUGCGAGCGUUAAUCGGAAUUACUGGGCGUAAAGCGCGCGUAGGCGGUCUGAUAAGCCGGUUGUGAAAGCCCCGGGCUCAACCUGGGAACGGCAUCCGGAACUGUCAGGCUAGAGUGCAGGAGAGGAAGGUAGAAUUCCCGGUGUAGCGGUGAAAUGCGUAGAGAUCGGGAGGAAUACCAGUGGCGAAGGCGGCCUUCUGGACUGACACUGACGCUGAGGUGCGAAAGCGUGGGUAGCAAACAGGAUUAGAUACCCUAGUAGUC
rnacentral:rRNA from 1 species